rnacentral:rRNA from 1 species
UUGAACGCUGGCGGCAGGCCUAACACAUGCAAGUCGAACGGUAACAGGAAACAGCUUGCUGUUUCGCUGACGAGUGGCGGACGGGUGAGUAAUGUCUGGGAAACUGCCUGAUGGAGGGGGAUAACUACUGGAAACGGUAGCUAAUACCGCAUAACGUCGCAAGACCAAAGAGGGGGACCUUCGGGCCUCUUGCCAUCGGAUGUGCCCAGAUGGGAUUAGCUUGUUGGUGGGGUAACGGCUCACCAAGGCGACGAUCCCUAGCUGGUCUGAGAGGAUGACCAGCCACACUGGAACUGAGACACGGUCCAGACUCCUACGGGAGGCAGCAGUGGGGAAUAUUGCACAAUGGGCGCAAGCCUGAUGCAGCCAUGCCGCGUGUAUGAAGAAGGCCUUCGGGUUGUAAAGUACUUUCAGCGGGGAGGAAGGGAGUAAAGUUAAUACCUUUGCUCAUUGACGUUACCCGCAGAAGAAGCACCGGCUAACUCCGUGCCAGCAGCCGCGGUAAUACGGAGGGUGCAAGCGUUAAUCGGAAUUACUGGGCGUAAAGCGCACGCAGGCGGUUUGUUAAGUCAGAUGUGAAAUCCCCGGGCUCAACCUGGGAACUGCAUCUGAUACUGGCAAGCUUGAGUCUCGUAGAGGGGGGUAGAAUUCCAGGUGUAGCGGUGAAAUGCGUAGAGAUCUGGAGGAAUACCGGUGGCGAAGGCGGCCCCCUGGACGAAGACUGACGCUCAGGUGCGAAAGCGUGGGGAGCAAACAGGAUUAGAUACCCUGGUAGUCCACGCCGUAAACGAUGUCGACUUGGAGGUUGUGCCCUUGAGGCGUGGCUUCCGGAGCUAACGCGUUAAGUCGACCGCCUGGGGAGUACGGCCGCAAGGUUAAAACUCAAAUGAAUUGACGGGGGCCCGCACAAGCGGUGGAGCAUGUGGUUUAAUUCGAUGCAACGCGAAGAACCUUACCUGGUCUUGACAUCCACGGAAGUUUUCAGAGAUGAGAAUGUGCCUUCGGGAACCGUGAGACAGGUGCUGCAUGGCUGUCGUCAGCUCGUGUUGUGAAAUGUUGGGUUAAGUCCCGCAACGAGCGCAACCCCUGCCAUUAGUUGCUACGCAAGAGCACUCUAAUGGGACCGCUACCGACAAGGUGGAGGAAGGUGGGGACGACGUCAAAUCAUCAUGCCCUUUAUGUCCUGGGCUACACACGUACUACAAUGGCUAUAACAAAGAGAAGCGAGACCGCGAGGUGGAGCAAAACUCAAAAACAACGUCUCAGUUCAGAUUGCAGGCUGCAACUCGCCUGCAUGAAGUCGGAAUCGCUAGUAAUCGUGGAUCAGAAUGCCACGGUGAAUACGUUCCCGGGCCUUGUACACACCGCCCGUCACACCAUGGGAGUGGGUUGCAAAAGAAGUAGGUAGCUUAACCUUCGGGAGGGCGCUUACCACUUUGUGAUUCAUGACUGGGGUG